UCGGGUGUGGUGUACGGUGCACUGCUGCUCUCAUUGCUGUGGUUGUACUAGGAAUUGAGGCAGUGAGACGGGGUUCGACUCCCCGCACCCGAA